GCAUAGUAACCCAGUAAUGCUUCCCUUCCUUUCUCCUCUUUCUUUUGAUUGUUAAUUAUAUUUAAUGUUUUUAAAAUAUAUGUAGGUGUUAGGCGUAUAUAGACAGUGCCCGAGCAGCGGGACUUCUCCUCUCACAUCCGAUAGGCGUGCUGUGAUGGCAAGCGAAGUGGGGCGGGUGGACAGGGAAACCAACUAUUGUACUUUCAAAUUAUCCAAGCACUGAACUGCGGCGGCUUCGCUGGGGUGGCUGGCAUCGCCGCGAACCGGGGUUCCAGGAGCCGCCGGGGCGGCCGCAGGAUCUGUGCAGAUCUCUGGCUGAUUGCUUUAUGCCUGGUUCUGGAGCCUUUGCCAGUGCAUUCUAAGAAGAACAAGGGAAGACCAGCAAGCCACAGCAGAAGAAACUCAGAAGGAAAUGUAACCUUCCACAGGCCCACACAUGUGUUAUCAGCCAUACCUUAGGACAGAAGGAAUGAGUUUGCAGAAAGGAUGCUCUUCAGAACUCAUGAAGACAUAAGGUGCUUCAAAAGAGGAGACUUUCGGAACAUGAGCAGGGAAAUUGUCACUUGAUAGAUGACAAGCAUUGUGAGAAACAACAGUUUGCCUUUCUUCAUUCCCUUCCUGGUUAUCUUUCCUGUCACAUGAAGAAGAAAUGAAACACCAGAGAGAAUCAGGUUAUCAUCAUCUACACCAGCCACUGUCACUGGCCUUCAAAGUUCAACCUCCCUGGAACUCCAGAACUCCCCACUUUAUAAGAUGAAUGGCUAAUUGGAUCCUAGUACAUAAGGAAACACUGGCAAAAUAGCGGUAUAUAACAAAUGUUUCUUUUUAUGAUAGAUCUACAUCUGAAACAACGGUGAAAAAGCAUGCAUUAAAUUAAAAAGCAUAGUCUUCCAUUUGUAAGUAAUUUUGUUAUGUGCUGCUUAUGGGAGAUUGUUUAGUUAAAGCUAUAUUACUGCAAAAGAGAGGCAAACAGAGACAGCACAGCACAUU
ensembl:lncRNA novel transcript